rnacentral:rRNA from 1 species
UACGAAGGGGGCUAGCGUUGCUCGGAAUUACUGGGCGUAAAGGGCGCGUAGGCGGCGCAUUUAGUCAGGCGUGAAAUUCCUGGGCUUAACCUGGGGACUGCGCUUGAUACGGGUGUGCUUGAGGACGGAAGAGGCUCGCGGAAUUCCCAGUGUAGAGGUGAAAUUCGUAGAUAUUGGGAAGAACACCGGUGGCGAAGGCGGCGAGCUGGUCCGUAUCUGACGCUGAGGCG